GAUGAACGCUGGCGGCGUGCCUAACACAUGCAAGUCGAGCGAGAAUUUCUUAAAUGAAGCUUCGGUAGAUUUUAAGGAAGGAAAGCGGCGGACGGGUGAGUAACGCGUAGGCAACCUACCCUUUGCAGAGGGAUAGCCUCGGGAAACCGGGAUUAAAACCUCAUAAUGCCGUGAAGAGACAUCUCUAUAUGGCCAAAGAUUUAUCGGCAAAGGAUGGGCCUGCGUCUGAUUAGCUAGUUGGUGGGGUAACGGCCUACCAAGGCAACGAUCAGUAGCCGACCUGAGAGGGUGAUCGGCCACAUUGGAACUGAGACACGGUCCAAACUCCUACGGGAGGCAGCAGUGGGGAAUAUUGCACAAUGGGGGAAACCCUGAUGCAGCAACGCCGCGUGAAGGAAGAAGGCCUUUGGGUCGUAAACUUCUGUUCUAAGGGAAGAUAAUGACGGUACCUUAGGAGCAAGUCCCGGCUAACUACGUGCCAGCAGCCGCCGUAACAC
rnacentral:rRNA from 1 species